rnacentral:rRNA from 1 species
CCCUUAGAUGUUCUGGGCCGCACGCGCGCUACACUGACGAAUGCAACGAGCUUAUAAUAACCUUGGCCGAAAGGUCUGGGUAAUCUCCAAAUUUCGUCGUGAUGGGGAUAGAUUAUUGCAAUUAUUAAUCUUCAACGAGGAAUGCCUAGUAAGCGCAAGUCAUCAGCUUGCGUUGAUUACGUCCCUGCCCUUUGUACGCACCGCCCGUCGCUCCUACCGAUUGAAUGGUCCGGUGAAGCGUUCGGACCGUGGCCUUUGGACGGUUCGCCGUCUGUUGGCUGCGGGAAGUUCGUUAAACCUUAUCAUUUAGAGGAAGGAGAAGUCGUAACA